rnacentral:rRNA from 1 species
GCCAGAGGAUGCAAGCGUUAUCCGGAAUGAUUGGGCGUAAAGCGUCUGUAGGUGGCUUUUUAAGUCUGCCGUCAAAUCCCAGGGCUUAACCCUGGACAGGCGGUGGAAACUACCAAGCUGGAGUACGGUAGGGGCAGGGGGAAUUUCCGGUGGAGCGGUGAAAUGCGUAGAGAUCGGAAAGAACACCAACGGCGAAAGCACUCUGCUGGGCCUGCACUGACACUGAGGGACGAAAGCUAGGGGAGCGAAAGGG